CCGUUCUCAGUUCGGAUCGGAGUCUGNAACCCGACUCCGUGAAGCUGGAUUCGCUAGUAAUCGCGCAUCAGCCAUGGCGCGGUGAAUACGUUCCCGGGCCUUGUACACACCGCCCGUCAAGCCAUGGGAGCCGGGGGUGCUUGAAGUGCGUCGCCGCAAGGCGCGCCCUAGAGCAAAACCGGUGACUGGGGCUAAGUCGUAACAAGGUAAC
rnacentral:rRNA from 1 species